rnacentral:rRNA from 1 species
AGAUUGAACGCUGGCGGCAUGCCUAACACAUGCAAGUCGAACGGGAGUAGCAAUACUCUAGUGGCGGACGGGUGAGGAAUACGUAGGAAUUUGCCCUUAAGUGGGGGAUAACCCGGGGAAACCCGGAUUAAUACCGCAUGACCUCGAAAGAGCAAAGUGGGGGAUCGCAAGACCUCACGCUUUUGGAGAAGCCUACGUCGGAUUAGCUAGUUGGUGAGGUAAUGGCUCACCAAGGCGACGAUCCGUAACUGGUCUGAGAGGAUGAUCAGUCACACCGGAACUGAGACACGGUCCGGACUCCUACGGGAGGCAGCAGUGGGGGAAUAUUGGGACAAUGGGCGCAAGCCUGAUCCAGCAAUGCCGCGUGUGUGAAGAAGCCUUCGGGUUGUAAAGCUAACGUUUAAGUUUAGGAAAGAAAAAACGUCGACUACCUAACACGAGUGAGUCUUAGACGUACCGACAAGAAUAAGCACCGGCUAACUCCUGUCGCUAGCAGCCGC